GCCAGAGUGGUGCAAUGGUUUGAGCAUUGGACUAUAAUUCUAGAGGCCAGGAUUUGAAUCCUGGCUCGGUCA